rnacentral:misc_RNA from 1 species
UGAGGCUUUUCCAUUAGUUCUU